rnacentral:rRNA from 1 species
AGAGUUUGAUCCUGGCUCAGGAUGAACGCUGGCGGCGUGCCUAAUACAUGCAAGUCGAACGAAGAUCUAGCUUGCUAGAUCUUAGUGGCGAACGGGUGAGUAAUACAUAAAUAAUCUGCCCAUAUGACUGGGAUAACUAUUGGAAACGAUAGCUAAUACCGGAUAGGUUAAUCGGAGGCAUCUCUGAUGAAUUAAAGUAGGAUUUCUACACAAAUGGAUGAGUUUAUGGCGCAUUAGUUAGUUGGUGGGGUAACGGCCUACCAAGACGAUGAUGCGUAGCCGACCUGAGAGGGUGACCGGCCACACUGGGACUGAGACACGGCCCAGACUCCUACGGGAGGCAGCAGUAGGGAAUUUUCGGCAAUGGGCGCAAGCCUGACCGAGCAACGCCGCGUGAGUGAUUAAGGCCCUCGGGUUGUAAAGCUCUGUUGUAAGGGAAGAACAUUCAGGAUAGGAAAUGAUCUUGAACUGACGGUACCUUACCAGAAAGCCACGGCUAACUACGUGCCAGCAGCCGCGGUAAUACGUAGGUGGCAAGCGUUAUCCGGAAUUAUUGGGCGUAAAGGGUGCGUAGGCGGUUUAUUAAGUCUAUGGUGAAAGUGCGGGGCUCAACCCCGUAUGGCCAUAGAAACUGGUAGACUUGAGUGCAGGAGAGGGCAAUGGAAUUCCAUGUGUAGCGGUAAAAUGCGUAGAUAUAUGGAGGAACACCAGUGGCGAAGGCGGUUGCCUGGCCUGUAACUGACGCUGAAGCACGAAAGCGUGGGGAGCAAAUAGGAUUAGAUACCCUAGUAGUCCACGCC